rnacentral:rRNA from 1 species
CACCAGACUCCUACGGGAGGCAGCAGUGGGGAAUAUUGCACAAUGGGGGAAACCCUGAUGCAGCGACGCCGCGUGAGCGAUGAAGUAUUUCGGUAUGUAAAGCUCUAUCAGCAGGGAAGAAAAUGACGGUACCUGACUAAGAAGCCCCGGCUAACUACGUGCCAGCAGCCGCGGUAAUACGUAGGGGGCAAGCGUUAUCCGGAUUUACUGGGUGUAAAGGGAGCGUAGACGGCUGUGCAAGCCAGAUGUGAAAGCCCGGGGCUCAACCCCGGGACUGCAUUUGGAACUGUGUGGCUGGAGUGUCGGAGAGGCAGGCGGAAUUCCUAGUGUAGCGGUGAAAUGCGUAGAUAUUAGGAGGAACACCAGUGGCGAAGGCGGCCUGCUGGACGAUGACUGACGUUGAGGCUCGAAAGCGUGGGGAGCAAACAGGAUUAGAUACCCGCGUAGA